rnacentral:rRNA from 1 species
CACACCGCCCGUCACACCAUGGAAGUCUGUUGCACCAGAAGUCGGUAGUCUAACCGCAAGGAGGGCGCCGACCACGGUGUGGCCGAUGACUGGGUG